GAAUUGCGAAAAGUAAUGUGAAUUGCAGAAUUCCGUGAAUCAUCGAAUCUUUGAACGCAUAUUGCGCUCUUUGGUUCUCCAAAGAGCAUGCCUGUUUGAGUAUCAGUAAAUCAACUCACCCCCAUAUGGGCGUGUGGAUUUGAACGUUCCGGUGCGAGGCAGUCGCCUUACGUCGGUCGUUUGGAAGGGAACGGGGGUUGCAUAGGGCUACCUCUCGGCUGGCGUAGUAGUUCUCUCCGGAGAUUUUAUCGCCUAUGGUCGGGUAAUUGCCUGUGACUACCGACACACACACAAUUACAGUGUGCGCCUCUGGUGUACACUUGAACUUGAUCUCAAAUCAGGCAAGACUACCCGCUGAAUUUAA
rnacentral:misc_RNA from 1 species